rnacentral:rRNA from 1 species
CCUACGGGUGGCAGCAGUGGGGAAUAUUGGACAAUGGGCGAAAGCCUGAUCCAGCCAUGCCGCGUGUGUGAAGAAGGCCUUCGGGUUGUAAAGCACUUUCAGUGGGGAAGAAAGCCUUGGGGCUAAUACCCUCGAGGAAGGACAUCACCCACAGAAGAAGCACCGGCUAACUCCGUGCCAGCAGCCGCGGUAAUACGGAGGGUGCGAGCGUUAAUCGGAAUUACUGGGCGUAAAGCGCGCGUAGGCGGUCUGAUAAGCCGGUUGUGAAAGCCCCGGGCUCAACCUGGGAACGGCAUCCGGAACUGGCAGGCUAGAGUGCAGGAGAGGAAGGUAGAAUUCCCGGUGUAGCGGUGAAAUGCGUAGAGAUCGGGAGGAAUACCAGUGGCGAAGGCGGCCAUCUGGACUGACACUGACGCUGAGGUGCGAAAGCGUGGGUAGCAAACAGGAUUAGAUACCCGGGUAGUC